UACGUAGGGGGCAAGCGUUGUCCGGAUUUAUUGGGCGUAAAGAGCGUGUAGGCGGCUUUGCAAGUCCGUUGUGAAAACUCGAGGCUCAACCUCGAGACGCCGGUGGAAACUGCAAAGCUAGAGUCCGGAAGAGGAGAGUGGGAAUUCCUGGUGUAGCGGUGAAAUGCGCAGAUAUCAGGAAGAACACCCGUGGCGAAGGCGGCUCUCUGGGACGGUACUGACGCUGAGACGCGAAAGCGUGGGGAGCGAACAGG
rnacentral:rRNA from 1 species